GCAGCCUGGGUGCAAGUGAGUUAGCUGCAGCAGGUGGGACAAGGGGGGGCACCGGAGGAGGUUGGGUCGCUUUACAGGAUAAAAGGCAAAAUAUUUCUGCCAGCCCCAGCCCUGCUUCCACUGGGGAGAGCGGCACAGGGCCAGGAUUCCUGCCUUGGCCUCGUUCUGAGUGGCCGGCGGGGCAGGGGGUGCUCCUAGCCGGUAGGCGGCGGGACUCCCACAUUGGCCCAGGGUGCUCGAAAAGCAGUGGGGCAAAGACCCCUGCCCCUGCUUGCUCUGCACGUAGCGCUGCAAGGGCCCUAAACCCUUCACUGCCCCCCACCUGGGAGAGCUCCCGCUGCCCCCGGCCUGGCCACAGGGCCAGGGCUCGGGCCUGUUCCCCAGCGACGCUCAGAGCGCGGGGGCUUUAUCUGCUCCCUGGCACAGCCUGAGCCCAGCUGUGCCAAGAGCCCCCCUAUCCGCUGUGCAUGGCUGGCCGAGCCAUGGCCCUGUGAGCCCUGCGCUACCAGCCGGAGUGAAACCCCCUCCUCUACCCAGGAGAGUGCCAAUGCCGUCACUUUCCGGCGGGGACCACGCCGCCCUCUUCCACGCCCCAUCCCUUCCCGGCAGCCUCGUGGGACCCCAUCCCCACCUUCAUUGCAGCUUCCAGCCCUUCCCGCCCCCACAUGCGCCGCUGGCCAGGGGGGUCAGNCGACCUUCGCCCACGGUCACACCCAGCCCUGGAAGGGGCACAGCAGUGGGGCCAGGCCCAGGGGCAGCACUUCCUGAUUUAGCAGAGCUAAGUGCAUGGGGCCCAUAGGUCAGGGUGGGCUCCAGCGUCUUUGCCACAGCCCCAGCAGAGAGGCCUGGGCACGCAGCUGAGCCCAGGGGAAGGGCGUGCUCUGCGCUCAGAGGAUUUCAGGCCCCAACCAGAGCCAGCAGCUACCACGCCCCUGCCACGGAAAGCCUGGCCCGGCUCCGUGGGCAGCAGCUGUCCAGGAAGGCCGGAUCCUGUAGGCAGAACAGCCGCAGGUCAGGCCAGAGGCAGAGCUAACCCCACUUGGGGCCCUGGGCCAGGGCUUGGUGCCAACCUCCCCAGCGUCUCUUAUGCUCACUCCCAGCAGCCCCAGUGACUCAGCACCGCCUGGGCCCUGCUUACGCAGUGACAGCUCUGGCCACGUGCAAGAGCCGUGCCCCGGUCCCUGCUGACGAGGGGCCUGAGUGACAGGAGGCUCCCCACCCACCCCCUCUAAGGGCUUGAGUCAGACCAGGCACUGCAGUGCCCAUGCAACGCGGCUAGGCCCAGCGUAGUGGGGGGAGGCCCAACCCGCUGCUCCUCGCGCCAGCCCCUCGUCCCUGUCCGUGGCAUGCAACCGUCUACCUCCCCGCAGGUACAAUGGGGGCACAGCAGCCUCCACGCACAGGCCCCAGUGCCCCCCUCCCUGCCCUGCCAGGUACCAGCCUUGGCAGCUGUGGUUUGAGUUUCACCAGGGAGCUGUGCCCAGGGAGAGGGGGCAGGACGGCCUGGCCCCCGCAGACAGCUCUGUAAAUAUGUAAAUAGCUGUAAAUACAGACGGUUUUUCCGUGUUCUUUACCCGACUGCAACAGCUCCGAAGGGCUAUCGCGUCAGACCACGGCCAUACGGCGCAGGGGACGGAGGUGCAGCCUUUGUGACCCAGGGCACUGCCCCCAGCCCCGUGCCCUGCUCACUCGUCCAUGGGCCCUCAGUCCUCCCCCCACCCCUGGCAAAGACACAGCCUGGCCCCAGCCCCCUCCCCUUAGAGAGAUACCCCAAAUCCAGGCACCUGCCCCGACUCUGU
rnacentral:lncRNA from 1 species